rnacentral:rRNA from 1 species
AACGCGAAGAACCUUACCUACCCUUGACAUCCUACGAACCCUAUAGAGAUAUGGGGGUGCCGAAAGGAGCGUAGAGACAGGUGCUGCAUGGCUGUCGUCAGCUCGUGUCGUGAGAUGUUGGGUUAAGUCCCGUAACGAGCGCAACCCUUGUCCUUAGUUGCCAGCACGUAAAGGUGGGAACUCUAAGGAGACUGCCGGUGAUAAACCGGAGGAAGGUGGGGAUGAGGUCAAGUCAUCAUGGCCUUUAUGGGUAGGGCCACACACGUGCUACAAUGGUUGUUACAAAGGGAAGCGAACCUGCGAAGGGGAGCAAAUCUCAAAAAGGCAAUCGUAGUCCGGAUUGGAGUCUGCAACUCGACUCCAUGAAGUUGGAAUCGCUAGUAAUCGCGGAUCAGAACGCCGCGGUGAAUACGUUCCCGGGCCUUGUACACACCGGAGUA